GGUGUUCCUAGGUCUGGAAGGAUAAAUCCCAGGGGAAGUGAGCUGCAGAACAUUUUAUGCAUCACUCAUUCUAUUAUGAGCCCUCUGCUGCUCCAUCUCUAUAAGG
rfam:Myotis davidii contig49748, whole genome shotgun sequence.